GGAGAGAUGCCGGAGCGGCUGAACGGCCAGUCUCGAAAACUGGAGUAGGGCAACGCGACCGGGGGUUCAAAUCCCCCCGUCUCUCCAACA
rnacentral:tRNA from 1 species